CGACGACUGGACUUUGCGUUUGGAUUUUCGAUCCCUGGGGCCGUAAUUUCACUCUCGGGAGCUGCCUCUGGCCGGAUCGUGGUCUGGCUACUUGUGGCGCCCACCUGCAAAGCAGGUCACAGAGGAUGAACGCACCGACGGUUGUGCUGGUCGUCGC
rnacentral:other from 1 species